rnacentral:rRNA from 1 species
UACGGGGGGGGGCAAGCGUUGUUCGGAAUUACUGGGCGUAAAGGGCUCGUAGGCGGCCAACUAAGUCAGACGUGAAAUCCCCAGGCUCAACUUGGGAACUGCGUCUGAUACUGGAUGGCUUGAAUUCGGGAGAGGGAUGCAGAAUUCCAGGUGUAGCGGUGAAAUGCGUAGAUAUCUGGAGGAAUACCGGUGGCGAAGGCGGCAUCCUGGACCGAGAUUGACACUGAUGAGCGAAAGCUAGGGGAGCAAACGGG